UACGUAGGGACCAAGCGUUGUUCGGAUUUACUGGGCGUAAAGGGCGCGUAGGCGGCCCUACAAGUCACUUGUGAAAUCUCCGGGCUUAACUCGGAACGGCCAAGUGAAACUGUAGAGCUAGAGUGUGGAAGGGGCAAUCGGAAUUCUUGGUGUAGCGGUGAAAUGCGUAGAUAUCAAGAGGAACACCUGAGGUGAAGACGGGUUGCUGGGCCAACACUGACGCUGAGGCGCGAAAGCCAGGGGAGCAAACGGG
rnacentral:rRNA from 1 species